rnacentral:rRNA from 1 species
AUUGAACGCUGGCGGCAUGCCUUACACAUGCAAGUCGAACGGCAGCAUGGAGAGCUUGCUCUCUGAUGGCGAGUGGCGAACGGGUGAGUAAUGCAUCGGAACGUACCGUGUAAUGGGGGAUAACGUAGCGAAAGUUACGCUAAUACCGCAUACGACCUGAGGGUGAAAGCAGGGGAUCGCAAGACCUUGCGUUAUACGAGCGGCCGAUGUCAGAGUAGCUAGUUGGUGAGGUAAAGGCUCACCAAGGCGACGAUCUGUAGCGGGUCGGAGAGGAUGAUCCGCCACGCUGGGACUGAGACACGGCCCAGACUCCUACGGGAGGCAGCCGUGGGGAAUUUUGGACAAUGGGGGCACCCCUGAUCCAGCCAUGCCGCGUGAGUGAAGAAGGCCUUCGGGUUGUAAAGCUCUUUCGGCCGGGAAGAAAUCGCACAGGCUAAUACUCUGUGUGGAUGACGGUACCGGCAUAAGAAGCACCGGCUAACUACGUGCCAGCCGCCGCCGUAA